AAAUUGAAGAGUUUGAUCAUGGCUCAGAUUGAACGCUGGCGGCAGGCCUAACACAUGCAAGUCGAACGGUAACAGGAAGAAGCUUGCUUCUUUGCUGACGAGUGGCGGACGGGUGAGUAAUGUCUGGGAAACUGCCUGAUGGAGGGGGAUAACUACUGGAAACGGUAGCUAAUACCGCAUAACGUCGCAAGACCAAAGAGGGGGACCUUCGGGCCUCUUGCCAUCGGAUGUGCCCAGAUGGGAUUAGCUUGUUGGUGGGGUAACGGCUCACCAAGGCGACGA
rnacentral:rRNA from 1 species